rnacentral:rRNA from 1 species
CGGUAAUUCCAGCUCCAAUAGCGUAUACUAAAGUUGUUGCAGUUAAAAAGCUCGUAGUUGGAUUUCUGCGGGGACGGAGCGGCCGGACGCAACUUGCGUCUCGAGCUAGCGCUUUCCCCGCAUCCUGCCGCGAACCGUGCUACCAUUAGCUUGGUGGCGCUGGGGAUCGGCUCGAUUACUUUGAGAAAAAUAGAGUGUUCAAAGCAGGCCACACGCCUUGAAUAAGUUAGCAUGGAAUAAUGACUAAGGACUUCGGUUCUAUUUUGUUGGUGUUCGGGACUGAAGUAAUGAUUGAUAGGGACAGUUGGGGCGGUCUGUAUUCCAAAGCGAGAGGUGAAAUUCUUAGACCUUCGGAAGACAAACAGCUGCGAAAGCGUUCCGCAAGGAUGUUCCCUUUGAUCAAGAACGAAAGUUGGGGGAUCGAAGACGAUCAGAUACCGUCGUAGUUCCAACCAUAAACGAUGCCGUCUGCGGAUCGGAGGUCGCUCAUGUAAGGCUCCUUCGGCACGCUAUGAGAAAUCAAAGCAUCUGGGUUCCGGGGGGAGUAUGGUCGCAAGGCUGAAACUUAAAGGAAUUGACGGAAGGGCACCACCAGCCGUGGAGCCUGUGGCUUAAUUUGACUCAACACGGGAAAACUUACCAGGUCCAGACAUAGUAAGGAUUGACAGAUUGAUAGCUCUUUCUUGAUUCUGUGGGUGGUGGUGCAUGGCCGUUCUUAGUUGGUGGAGUGAUUUGUCUGGUUAAUUCCGUUAACGAACGAGACCCCAGCCUGCUAAAUAGCGCGGCUGAGCUUUGCUCGGUGCGAGCUUCUUAGAGGGACUAUGAUGCGCGAUAGCACAUGGAAGUUUGGGGCAAUAACAGGUCUGUGAUGCCCUUAGAUGUUCUGGGCCGCACACGGGCUACACUGGCGCCUGCAACGAGCAUAUCAGCUGGCCCGAGAGGGUCUUGGCUAAUCUUUUGAACCGGCGCCGUGCUUGGGAUUGACCAUUGCAAUUGUUGGUCAUGCAACGAGGAAUGCCUUGUAAACGCGAGUCAUCAGCUCGCAUUGAAUACGUCCCUGCCCUUUGUACACACCGCCCGUCGCUCCUACCGAUGAAUGUUCCGAUGAAAUUUUCGGAGAGCGCCAGAGAACGGGGCUCUGCCUUGCAGAUCUGGAGGCUCAAAGUCACUUAAAUCUGAGCAUUUCGAGGAAGGAGAAGUCGUAACAAGGUAGCCG